rnacentral:rRNA from 1 species
CCUACGGGUGGCUGCAGUGAGGAAUAUUGGUCAAUGGGCUGACGCCUGAACCAGCCAAGUCGCGUGAGGGAAGACUGCCCUAUGGGUUGUAAACCUCUUUUGUCAGGGAGCAACGCCGGCUACGUGUAGCCGGACUGAGAGUACCUAAAGAAAAACCAUCGGUUAACUCCUUGCCAGCAGCCGCGUUAUUACGGAGGUUGCGAGCGUUAUCCGGAUUUAUUGGGUUUAAAGGUGGCGUAGGCGGAAUGCCAAGUCAGCGGUAAAAUCGCGGGGCUCAACCCCGCUGCGCCGUUGAAACUGGCGUUCUUGAGUGGGCGAGAGGUAUGCGGAAUGCGUGGUGUAGCGGUGAAAUGCAUAGAUAUCACGCAGAACUCCGAUUGCGAAGGCAGCAUACCGGCGCCCAACUGACGCUGAAGCACGAAAGCGUGGGUAUCGAACAGGAUUAGAUACCCCUGUAGUC